rnacentral:tRNA from 1 species
GUUUCUGUAGCGUAGUGGUUAUUGUGUUUGCUUUGCAUGCAAAAGGUCUCUGGUUCAAAACCAGACAGAAACA